rnacentral:rRNA from 1 species
AGAGUUUGAUCCUGGCUCAGAACGAACGCUGGCGGCGUGGAUAAGACAUGCAAGUCGAACGGGACUACUUUUGGUAGCAAUACCGAGAGUAGUUUAGUGGCGAACGGGUGCGUAACACGUGGGCAAUCUGCCGAGAAGUGGGGGAUAGCUCGCCGAAAGGCGAAUUAAUACCGCAUAUGAUCAGGGACGACAUCUUCCUAACAUUAAAGCCGGGGCAACCUGGCGUUUCUCGAUGAGCCCGCGGCCUAUCAGCUAGUUGGUGAGGUAACGGCUCACCAAGGCUAUGACGGGUAGCUGGUCUGAGAGGACGACCAGCCACACUGGAACUGAGACACGGUCCAGACACCUACGGGUGGCAGCAGUCGAGAAUUUUUCUCAAUGGGGGCAACCCUGAAGGAGCGACGCCGCGUGGAGGAUGAAGGCUUUCGGGUUGUAAACUCCUGUCAUUUGGGAACAAGCUGCACAUGUUAACUGUAUGUGCAUUGAUAGUACCAGAAGAGGAAGAGACGGCUAACUCUGUGCCAGCAGCCGCGGUAAUACAGAGGUCUCAAGCGUUGUUCGGAUUCAUUGGGCGUAAAGGGUGCGUAGGUGGCGCCAUAAGUCAGGUGUGAAAUCUCGGGGCUUAACUCCGAAACUGCAUUUGAUACUGUGGUGCUUGAGGACUGGAGAGGAGACUGGAAUUCACGGUGUAGCAGUGAAAUGCGUAGAUAUCGUGAGGAAGACCAGUGGCGAAGGCGGGUCUCUGGACAGUUCCUGACACUGAGGCACGAAGGCCAGGGGAGCAAACGGGAUUAGAUACCCUAGUAGUCC